GUUACAUUAAAUUCUAGGUAAAUUUUUGAUUAUGACAUAGUUUAUCUAUAAGUCUUGACCAAAUCAUGUGCCAGCAGUCGCGGUAAGACAUGGAAGACAAGUGUUAUUCAUGAUUAGUGGGUUUAAAGGGUACUCAGACAGUUAAUUAAGCCUAUAUAUUAUGCAGGUACUAAUUAUACUAGAGUUUUAUGGAAGAAGGCUAGAACGGUGAGUGGAGAGAUGAAAUAUGUUGAUACCACCUAGAUACUGACAACGGUGAAGACAACCUUUUAUGUAAUAACUGACGUUAAAGGACGAAGGCUCAAGAGAAAGCAACAGGAUUAGGUACCCCAGUACUGUGGGCAGACAAUGAUGAGUGUCAUAGGUAAGUUUUUUAAUUUAAUUAAUAAAUUAUAAGUUUACGUAUAAAUGAAAGUGUAAGCACUCCACCUUAAGAGUAACAUGGCAACAUCGGAACUGAAAUCAUUAGACCGUUUCUGAAACCAGUAGUGAAGUAUGUUGUUUAAUUUGAUGAUCCACAAAAAACCUUACCACAAUUUGAAUUACUCACAGGAGUUGCACGGCUGUCUUCAGUUGAUAUCGUGAGAUUUUGGUUAGAUCCAUCAAUCAACGUAAACCCUUACUUUAUUUUUUUCAUAAAG
rnacentral:rRNA from 1 species